rnacentral:rRNA from 1 species
AUUGAACGCUGGCGGCAGGCCUAACACAUGCAAGUCGAACGGAUGUAGCAAUACAUUAGUGGCGCACGGGAGAGUAACGCGUGGGAAUCUGCCUCAUAGUUCGGAAUAACACCGGGAAACUGGUGCUAAUACCGGAUACGCCCUUCGGGGGAAAGUUUUCGUCUAUGAGAGGAGCCCGCGUUGGAUUAGCUAGUUGGUGGGGUAAAAGCCUACCAAGGCGACGAUCCAUAGCUGGUCUGAGAGGACGAUCAGCCUCACUGGGACUGAGACACGGCCCAGACUCCUACGGGAGGCAGCAGUAAGGAAUAUUGGUCAAUGGACGAAAGUCUGAACCAGCCAUGCCGCGUGAAGGAUGAAGGCCCUCUGGGUUGUAAACUUCUUUUAUAGGGGACGAAAAAGGAAUUCCUUCCCACUUGACGGUACCCUAGGAAUAAGCACCGGCUAA